rnacentral:rRNA from 1 species
AACGUAGGAGGCGAACGUUAUUCGGAUUUACUGGGCGUAAAGCGCGCGUAGGCGGCCGUUUAAGUCAGAUGUGAAAGCCCGGGGCUCAACCCCGGAAGUGCAUUUGAUACUAUUCGGCUUGAGUAUGGGAGAGGGAAGUGGAAUUCCUGGUGUAGAGGUGAAAUUCGUAGAUAUCAGGAGGAACACCGGUGGCGAAGGCGACUUCCUGGACCAAUACUGACGCUGAGGCG